rnacentral:rRNA from 1 species
CAGCAGCCACGGGAAUACGAAGGGUGCAAGCGUUACUCGGAACUACUGGGCGUAAAGCGUGCGUAGGUGGUUGUUUAAGUCUGCUGUGAAAGCCCUGGGCUCAACCUGGGAAUUGCAGUGGAUACUGGGCGACUAGAGUAAGGUAGAGGAUAGUGGAAUUUCCGGUGUAGCAGUGAAAUGCGUAGAGAUCGGAAGGAACAUCUGUGGCGAAGGCGACUAUCUGGGCCAUUACUGACACUGAGGCACGAAAGCGUGGGGAGCAAACAGGAUUAGAUACCCCUGUAGUCCCUGUCUCUUAUCC